CAGUCGCCGCGGUAAUACAGAGGGUGCAAGCGUUAAUCGGAUUUACUGGGCGUAAAGGGCGCGUAGGUGGUUAUGUAAGUGAGAUGUGAAAUCCCCGGGCUUAACCUGAGAAUUGCUUUUAAGACUGUCGAGCUAGAAUCCAGAAGAGUGUAGUGGAAUUCCGAGUGUAGAGGUGAAAUUCGUAGAUAUUCGGAAGAACACCAGUGGCGAAGGCGACUACCUGGUCUGGCAUUGACGCUCAUGUGCGAAAGCGUGGGGAGCGAACAGGAUUAGAUACCCCUGUAGUCCCUGUCUCUUAUAC
rnacentral:rRNA from 1 species